AACUUUUAUGAGGGAUCAGCACUUUCAAUAGGGGGAAGGAGCGAGUGAGGAGAGCACAAAAUAGCAGCAGCCUUUUAAACUUUAAAUAGACAGGUUGGAGAGACUGAACUAGCUUUUCCAUUUUCCUACACCCACCGAGAGUUCUACCACUUGUUGGACGGCUUUACUCUCAAACUAGAGAAGGUAAGUUUGAAAGUUUG
rnacentral:other from 1 species